UGCAAGUCGAGCGGUACAGGGGUAGCUUGCUACCCGCUGACGAGCGGCGGACGGGUGAGUAAUGCAUAGGAAUCUGCCCGGUAGUGGGGGAUAACCUGGGGAAACCCAGGCUAAUACCGCAUACGUCCUACGGGAGAAAGGGGGCUUCGGCUCCCGCUAUUGGAUGAGCCUAUGUCGGAUUAGCUAGUUGGUGAGGUAAAGGCUCACCAAGGCAACGAUCCGUAGCUGGUCUGAGAGGAUGAUCAGCCACAUCGGGACUGAGACACGGCCCGAACUCCUACGGGAGGCAGCAGUGGGGAAUAUUGGACAAUGGGGGCAACCCUGAUCCAGCCAUGCCGCGUGUGUGAAGAAGGCCCUCGGGUUGUAAAGCACUUUCAGCGAGGAAGAACGCCUAUCGGUUAAUACCCGUUAGGAAAGACAUCACUCGCAGAAGAAGCACCGGCUAACUCCGUGCCAGCAGCCGCGGUAAUACGGAGGGUGCAAGCGUUAAUCGGAAUUACUGGGCGUAAAGCGCGCGUAGGUGGCUUGAUAAGCCGGUUGUGAAAGCCCCGGGCUCAACCUGGGAACGGCAUCCGGAACUGUCAGGCUAGAGUGCAGGAGAGGAAGGUAGAAUUCCCGGUGUAGCGGUGAAAUGCGUAGAGAUCGGGAGGAAUACCAGUGGCGAAGGCGGCCUUCUGGACUGACACUGACACUGAGGUGCGAAAGCGUGGGUAGCAAACAGGAUUAGAUACCCUGGUAGUCCACGCCGUAAACGAUGUCGACCAGCCGUUGGGUGCCUAGCGCACUUUGUGGCGAAGUUAACGCGAUAAGUCGACCGCCUGGGGAGUACGGCCGCAAGGUUAAAACUCAAAUGAAUUGACGGGGGCCCGCACAAGCGGUGGAGCAUGUGGUUUAAUUCGAUGCAACGCGAAGAACCUUACCUACCCUUGACAUCUACAGAAGCCGGAAGAGAUUCUGGUGUGCCUUCGGGAACUGUAAGACAGGUGCUGCAUGGCUGUCGUCAGCUCGUGUUGUGAAAUGUUGGGUUAAG
rnacentral:rRNA from 1 species